CAAUAGCGUAUAUUAAAGUUGUUGCAGUUAAAAAGCUCGUAGUUGGAUUACUGGUGGGAGCGAUCGGUCUGGCGCUUAGCGCGAGUACUUGCAUCGUCUCCGGCCAUCCUUGGGGAGAGUCUGUCUGGCAUUAAGUUGUCGGGCAGAGGAUCCUCAUCGUUUACUGUGAAAAAAUUAGAGUGUUCAAAGCAGGCUUAUGCCGUUGAAUAUAUUAGCAUGGAAUAAUAAGAUAGGACUUUGGUACUAUUUUGUUGGUUUGCGCACCAAAGUAAUGAUUAAUAGGGACAGUUGGGGGUAUUCGUAUUCCGUUGUCAGAGGUGAAAUUCUUGGAUUUACGGAAGACGAACUACUGCGAAAGCAUUUACCAAGGAUGUUUUCAUUAA
rnacentral:rRNA from 1 species